rnacentral:rRNA from 1 species
UACGUAGGGUGCAAGCGUUGUUCGGAAUUACUGGGCGUAAAGGGCGCGUAGGCGGGCCCGUAUGUCGAUUGUGAAAGCCCUGGGCUUAACCCGGGAAUGGCAGUCGAAACUGCGGGUCUUGAGUGCCUGAGAGGAUGGCGGAAUUCCCGGUGUAGGAAGUGAAAUUCGUAGAUAUCGGGAAGAACACCUGAGGCGAAGGCGGCUAUCUGGCGGUGCACUGACGCUGAGGCGCGAAAGCUAGGGGAGCAAACGGGA